GCUGGCGGCGUGCUUAACACAUGCAAGUCGAGCGGUAAGGCCUUUCGGGGUACACGAGCGGCGAACGGGUGAGUAACACGUGAGCAAUCUGCCCUUCACUCUGGGAUAGCCACCGGAAACGGUGAUUAAUACCGGAUAUGACCAUUGCCCGCAUGGGUGGUGGUGGAAAGUUCUGGCGGUGAAGGAUGGGCUCGCGGCCUAUCAGCUUGUUGGUGAGGUAAUGGCUCACCAAGGCUUCGACGGGUAGCCGGCCUGAGAGGGUGACCGGCCACACUGGGACUGAGACACGGCCCAGACUCCUACGGGAGGCAGCAGUGGGGAAUAUUGGACAAUGGGCGAAAGCCUGAUCCAGCAACGCCGCGUGAGGGAUGACGGCCUUCGGGUUGUAAACCUCUUUCAGCAGGGACGAAGCGAAAGUGACGGUACCUGCAGAAGAAGCACCGGCCAACUACGUGCCAGCAGCGCCGGGUAAUAA
rnacentral:rRNA from 1 species